rnacentral:rRNA from 1 species
UACGAAGGGGGCUAGCGUUAAUCGGAAUUACUGGGCGUAAAGGGUGCGUAGGCGGUUGUUUAAGUCUGUCGUGAAAUCCCCGGGCUCAACCUGGGAAUGGCGAUGGAUACUGGACAGCUAGAGUGUGUCAGAGGAUGGUGGAAUUCCCGGUGUAGCGGUGAAAUGCGUAGAGAUCGGGAGGAACAUCAGUGGCGAAGGCGGCCAUCUGGGACAACACUGACGCUGAAGCACGAAAGCGUGGGGAGCAAACAGG